UGUUAAGCCAAAAGUCAACAUUAAAUUCUCUACAGACAAAUCGCGACAGCACCGGCUGCUCCCGAGCGAACCUUACCACUCUUCAGUCUUCUCGACACCGGUCGCCGACGGCAAAACAGCUCAACUUCUAGAAUCAACUGCCACCUAAACAAGACGGCAGAGCCUGAGCCGUCGACGCUACCAAGCCCCUUAUUUUUCUAUCUGAAAUUUGAUCCUCAGCUCAAUUUUGUUGGUUUAUCUUAGUUUGAAAAUGGUGGCAAAGAUGGAAUCUUGACCUGUUUUUGAGAGAAAGAGAAAUGGGAAAGAAGAAAGAAGAGAAGGUGAUUGAUGACAACUUAGGCAUUAGUAGAGAUGAUGGCGCAUCUUGGUGGUUGGUUCAGAAUGGUGUUGGAGCUUCAUUUUUUUUUAUUGCUUUUUACUAGUAGGAGUUGCAAUGUUGCUCCAUCCUUACUCAGGAGCUGGUAAUCCUCCAAAGUUUGGGGACUAUGGUCUUUAUUUGUGCUCUUUUAUUCUUCAUAUUGUUUACUUAACCGCCCAAGUUUCCUUACCUCUUUGAAGCUAUGAUUAUGCUGAUGUGCUUUCCUCAAUUUGUGUUGUGUGCAUUUUACUCCAAUGCAAAGCAAUGGUUGUUUCGUUCUACGGUAGAUAAGGAAAAGAAGCUUAUUGGAUUCUUGUGUUUCUGAAAUUAGUUCACACAUGCUAUAGCAUUUUAUCUAACUUCUGGUCUGCCCGCAUGGAAACUCAAAUACAUAGCAGCAAAUGCAUAUGAGCAUGUGUUGGGUGACAAGUAAUUGGAUUGAAUCAUCUCACUAUGAGAAGUUUCUUGGUAGUUUUUGCCAAAAUUUCGCAUUUUAUAUUCUUUUUCUUUUUUGGAGAGUAUGCAUAAUCUGUUGUUCCUUUUGUAUUUAUUUUUCAACAUUUUUAUUUUUCAAUUCUAAUGUUCUAUUACAAUUUACAUUCUU